AUGGCGACUUCGUUCCAGGGGACGACCACCAAGUGCAACGCCUGCGACAAGACGGUGUACCUCGUCGACAAGCUCACCGCCGACAACCGGGUCUACCACAAGGCCUGCUUCAGGUGCCACCACUGCAAGGGCACCCUCAAGCUCGCGAAUUACAACUCGUUCGAAGGAGUGCUCUACUGCAGGCCUCACUUUGACCAGCUCUUCAAGAGGACCGGGAGCCUCGACAAGAGCUUCGAAGGCACUCCAAAGGUUGUCAAGCCGGAAAGGAAUGUUGGGAAUGAGAAUGCUAUUAAAGUCUCGAGCGCAUUUGCUGGCACCAGAGAGAAAUGUUUUGGAUGCACCAAGACAGUCUAUCCAAUUGAGAGGCUGGAGUUUCCUUUACUUAACAACAUGUGGCUGGAUUCAUAUUCAUCUGCUGCAUUUCCAAGUUGGGCAUUCAAUUAUUCAUCUUCUUUUUCUAUGACAAGACAAGGCGACACGGACGUUACUGUGAACAACACCAUGUACCACAAGAGCUGCUUCAAAUGCUGCCAUGGAGGGUGCACCAUCAGCCCUUCGAAUUACAUCGCGCAUGAGGGCAAGCUCUUCUGCAAGCACCACCACACCCAGCUGAUCAAAGAGAAGGGCAAUUUCAGCCAGCUCGAGAACGAUCACGACAAGACGUCACAGAGUGCCGGGUCAGUGGAUGAUGAAGACUCGGAGUAUUAG
rnacentral:rRNA from 1 species